UACGGGGGGGGCAAGCGUUGUUCGGAAUUACUGGGCGUAAAGGGCUCGUAGGCGGCCAACUAAGUCGGAUGUGAAAUCCCCAGGCUUAACCUGGGAACUGCAUCCGAUACUGGAUGGCUUGAAUCCGGGAGAGGGAUGCAGAAUUCCAGGUGUAGCGGUGAAAUGCGUAGAUAUCUGGAGGAACACCGGUGGCGAAGGCGGUUCUCUGGGCCUUACCUGACGCUGAGGAGCGAAAGCGUGGGGAGCAAACAGG
rnacentral:rRNA from 1 species